CAGUAGCCGCGGUAAUACGAAGGGGGCUAGCGUUGUUCGGAAUUACUGGGCGUAAAGCGCACGUAGGCGGAUCGAUCAGUCAGGGGUGAAAUCCCAGGGCUCAACCCUGGAACUGCCUUUGAUACUGUCGAUCUGGAGUAUGGAAGAGGUGAGUGGAAUUCCGAGUGUAGAGGUGAAAUUCGUAGAUAUUCGGAGGAACACCAGUGGCGAAGGCGGCUCACUGGUCCAUUACUGACGCUGAGGUGCGAAAGCGUGGGGAGCAAACAGGAUUAGAUACCCCAGUAGUCCCUGUCUCUUAUAA
rnacentral:rRNA from 1 species